rnacentral:lncRNA from 1 species
CUCUCCUAGAGGGAGCUCGUCGUCGUCUCUGAACACGCGAACUCUCGCUUCUCGGAGUUGCUCGUAGAGGUGGCUCGUAAAGCCCUUGCGAGAGUCUGGACCUCUGAAGCUUAAAAACACAUCAUAAUCACAUCCUGGCGAAGCAUCUGAUGAAACUGGGGACUCGGAAACCGGCUUCUCCACGAAGGUAAUUGCUGUUCUCUUCACCUUUAGAAAUUCUGAGGGAAUGAAAACUGAAAGCAAGAUUAAUCGGAUGCUAAACCACUGCAAAAGAAUGAAAGAUCUGAGGAUACAGAUUUCCUCUCUUUCUAUAAUGUACUCGCGUAUUAAAUUUAAUGGAGGGAAACAAGUCAAGGUCCAUCCUGGAGGUGUCCUACCAGACAUAGUAAAUAAAUCUCUUCCAGUCAGGAGUAGGUGGUUUAACGUGGACCAGUCAUUUAUUGAGAUGCACGUGAAAAACACAUUGAGUCCAUCACCUCCGCAUAUAUCAACGAAUUUAUCAAGGUACUAAUGUGAACUAAUUUUAAAAAAUAUCAUAUUUGAAAGUUGAUGUAGUAUAUAAUAAUUAAUAAUUAUAUUUGUCUCAUAAUUCAUCGGCUUUCGUGUCCAACUGUUGACGGGCUAAGACUUAAUCUUUCUCUUGGUGAUUUUCUUAUUGGAAGGGAUUAAAAGUAAACAAUAUCAGAGUAAAAAAUUAAUUGGUGCGAGAAGGAAGAAACAGAUGUAGAGAUAUAAACGACUUUCGAAAUGAAAGGGACUAAACAAGAAAAAAAAGGAACCACCAAAGAAAAUCCUUCUCCUUCCCUUUUUCUGGAAGAAUGGAGGUUCUAGACAAAAUUGCUGAAAAGUUUGGCCCCUAUUUGUUUCAAUUGUUGUUGUAGUCCACAGACACAACAAAGUGGAGAUUUAAGUUGGGACAUUUUGAUAUAGAAUAUAUCUAAAUUGAAGGGGAGCAAACUAACACUAAGGUCACUUGUAGGGCAAAAAUUAUUAAGAUGUACGUGUGAAUUAUGCUAGGAAAAUCCAAAAUUAGAGAAUUUGUAUGUUGUAAAACAAUUAUAAUCACAAUCAGCCCACAAUUUAUUUACAUAAUUUUUUAAGGGAAAGUGUAUCUAAUUGGAUAUAUUGAUACAUUUAGACAUUUCUUCUCAAUUUAACGAAAAAUACUAAAGUUGGAUUAAGUGGGGAAAUUCAACUUAAGAAUGGACAGCUGCAACAACCGCUAGCAUUUGAAAUAGUGAAUGUUUUUGGAAGAGUCAAGAGAAUUAGAUUUUGGAACAAUUUAGGGUGCGUUUGGGAGAAGCUUUCGAAGGAGUUUUGGGCAUCAAAAGCUCCUUGGACCAAAAUAAGAGUGUUUGGGCUUUCAGCUUUCUUGGCAUGUCCACGCGAUACUGUUCAUUCUUUUUUUUUUUCCGAAAUUGUCCUCACCAAUUUUUUAUUUUUCCAUUUUUUGCCCUUGUAUGAGAUUGCUCAUCUUCUCCGGGCCGGUUUGGUUCUACCUGACUGCGAGGGGCCGGCGACUGCUAGAGGGACAUCCUAGGCAAUCGUCGUCAAAGAGUCGGGCAACCUCCGCGAGUCGCGGCGUUGCAUGACCAUUCGUGAGUCGCGGCGACUCAACGACCAUGGCGAGGGGCCGCCCCGACGAUUGCCUGACCCCCAGCAAGUCGGCAGCCCAGAUCUGGGCCGCGGCGGCUCAAAUUUGAGUUGCCGCGACCCAAAUCCUCACCGAUCUGGGUGGGAUUUCCCUAGGAAUUUGGUUAGUCCUCAUAGGAUAUUCGAUCUGGGGAGCUUUCGCUCCGAGAUAUCCACCAAAAAGAGUAAGCGGAACUGACAUGCAGAACCAGAGCAACAGCAGGAUAACGAAAGAGAAAACGGGAUAGCUCCAGUGCUGUGACUACCCCACAAGCGAAAAUUCAGAACAGUCAGGAUCAAAAACGCUAUACCGGGGAAGAAGCACGACACCCAUCCCUUGUGAUCACCAGAGCUGAUGGUCCUCCAAAGUCGGACAGCAACAUAACCAGCAACAACACCAAGAAUCAUGUAGAAGAACAGCAUAUCUCUCGAUCCGCGUCAAAUCUGGACGAACCCAGUUGCGAAAGCAAGCUAAUCAGGCAAUGCAAAGAGCAAACCCCCAUCUGGGUUCGACGAUAUCACUCAUGAACGGCGUCAACACGCACAAAAAACGACUAAAAACACACAGCAAAAGAUCCCGACUCGCACUAGCAGCUGCUCGAACACCUAGAAAGAUCAAGAAACGACAACAGAACAAGCGCGCACGAAUGUCGCGAAGGGCACUGCAGAUCUGACUGACCUUCUAUAAAGGAACGCGCAUAGAGAGGGAGGGAGAGAGCAGGGGAGACUCGGGGGCAACCACAACGCCAGAAAGUUUAAAAUUUUGGCCUUUAUUUAUUGCUGGGGAAGGAGGAAGUCGAGAAGAUGCGAGACGCGAUGAUAUUUCUAGGAUCCGUCCGAUGGCGGUUUGACGUCUUUGCGUGAGCACGCUGAAAUGGGGAAUACGUACCGCGGGGGGCACACUCCUACUGCCGAUUCUUUCCCCCUUCCCCUUUCUUUCUCUCUCUCUCUUUCUUUUCUCCCCUUUUUCCUCCACACGUCACUUCCAAAUCCCCCCUCCCGCCCCGCAACCAAAUCUAGAACUGAUGAUAUUGAUUCCAUCGUCUCUGUUAGAGACUUCAUGGGAGCUUCCUUUAAGAACUUCAGAGAUCAUUUCCUUCUGCAAGUGCACAAUGCCCUCAUGCGAUUCCGUUUCUCGGAUAUCAGCUAAGAAGCCAUGGCGCUCAAAUUGGCUUGACAGUUUAUUGUAGAUGACUUUGGCAAGAGUAUCUCCGAAUAUCUCCGAAUGUAGUAUCUACCAUAGUCAUAAUUUUUUUUCACAUGAAUGCCCACUCCCACCAAGUGUUUAGGGGUCACUAACUUAAAAACUUUCUUUAACUCGCUCAAAACCUUCACAACAACCGCUUUUAUGAGUUCUGCCUCAUUCCUGUCAAAAUGGUGUUAUGAUUGAGAUCAUGAACAAAUAUAAUGAGUAAAACUUACUAGAACAAACUCAGACAAUAAGCAACAAGAUGAAUUGGCAAAUUAAUAAUGGUCGAUAGUCUAAACAACUAUUGUACUUUGCCAUAUAUUAAUCAACUUAUAUGAAAAGGGAUUUGGAAGUACCCAAUAGCAAUAUUUACGGAUACCAGUCCUUUCAAGGAUCCAACUUCUAUGAGUGCUUGUCUCCAUUCCUGAACGACGCUAUCCUCAAAACGCUGCUUGUAUGAGUUGAAGACAUCUCCAAAGGUUCCUUUGAGCCACUUCUCAUCUGCGGGCUCUACUUUAUAGAAUAUGGGCAAGAUCACUUGUUUCAUCUCUUUCUUGCACUUGAGCAUCCGAACGAGCUCAAAAAGGCAUCAUUUGCUGGAAGCAUAGCAUUCCGAGAGAAUUGGGGUCGAGAUCUUGCUGUUGUCGAUGGCCUGGAAAAGCUGUGGGCCAAUCUCCUCUCCUAGAGGGAGCUCGUCGUCGUCUCUGAAUACGCGAACUCUCGCUUCUUGGAGUCGCUGGUAGAGGUGGCUCGUGAAGCCCUUGCGAGAGUCUGGACCUCUGAAGCUUAAGAACACAUCAUAAUCACAUCCUGUUGAAGCAUCCGAUGAAACUGGGGACUCGGAAACCGGCUUCUCCACGAAGGUAAUUGCUGUUCUGUUCAUCUUUAGAAAUUCUAAGAGAACGAAAACUGAAAGCAAGAUUAAUCGGAUGCUAAACCACUGCACAAUAAUGACAAAGCUGAUGAUACUGAUUUCCUCUCUUUCUAUAAUGUACUGACGUUCUAAAUUUAAUGGAGGGAAACAAGUCAUGGUCCACCCUCGAGGUGUCCCAUCAGAGAUGGGAAAAACUAGGGGUGAGCAUGGUCUGAGUUGGUCCGGGCCACUCCCUAACCUUAAGACCAACCCGUACAGUGUCGGUCCUCAAUUUUUAGGAUCGAGGACUGACCCUACUAAGUCUGGGACCAAGGACCGACCCAAUGGGUUCGGUCCGGUUCCAGGGUCAACCCGGGACGGAUCGAUAAUUUAUUUCGUCUUGUUUUUUAUACUCCCUAAAAAAGUAAACCUACAAAUUCAAAUUACACAUCCAUCGACAAUGCGGCAUUGUGCAACUAAACUAUAAAUACCAAUACAAGAUCUCAAAUGAAGCACAAAGUAGAUAUCACUAGUCAAGUUGUGUUUGGAAAGCAAGGGCAAGCUGAGCAUUAGGGUUUCUAAUUAGGGCUUCUUCUUUUUUCCUUUUGAUUUACUCGGCGAUAAGUGAGGUGACUGGCGUGAGUGGCGAGCGCAAGUGUCAAGUGUUGAGUGGGGUGAGUGUCAACUGGCAAGCGGUAAGCGUUUAGUGAGGCCAGCGGCAAGCGGCAAGUGUUGAGCAAGACUAGCGGCGAGUGGUAAGUGGCGAGCGUUUAGUGAGGCCGGCGACGACAGCAAAGGGCGAGUGGUGAGUGGCGAGCGGCAUGAGCAGCGUGCACGGUCAAAGGUGAGCAGCGCGGGCAACCAGAGGUGAGCGGGAUGUUGCUACUUUUGAUUUUGACAAAUUGAAGAACAAAGAAUACAAAAUGGAAGAGAACGUACUUUAGGGAAGAAAGCCGUGAGGAGAUUUACGGCAUAAACUUUGCACCAUUUUGGACGUCGUGAGUCCAUGACUAUGAGGAGUCCUUGAUCCUCACGGUGAAGAAUGUACUAUGGAGUCUAGACUGUGGAGGAAGAGGCCGUGAAGACCUUACGGCGUAAACUUCACGCCUUUUGGAAUUGGAUGCCGUCUGUCCAUGACUGUGAGCAUGAGGAGUCAACAACUUUAACAUCAUUUUACUUAGGUUUGAAUAUAUAAAAGAAUUAUAUAUAAUAUAAUAUAACAUAAAUUUUACUUAGGUUUGAAUAUAUAAAAGAAUUAUAAAUAAUAUAAUAUACAGGAUUGGUCCAGGGUUGGACCGACCCAAAACUCUCAGGACCGAGGACCAACCCGCACAGUGUUGGUCCUGGAAUUUCAGGACCAAGGACCGACCCAGUCCCCUUGGGAACCGGACCAGGACCAGCAGGGUUGGGCCGGUCCAGGGUCGGUCCAGGGUCGAUCCUAAACCGUUGCUCACCCCUAGGAAAAGCAUCUUAUUUCAGGUGUAGCUGGUUUAACGUGACAGGUCAUUUAUUAAGAUACACGUGAACGACAAAUUUAGUCUUCACCUCCACAUAUGUCAAUCUAAUUUAUUGAUAUACACGAAUGACUUAGUUAAGAAAAAUCUCGCGUUUGGAAAUUGGGGUAGGAUAAAGCUGUUAAUAAUUUUCUUUGAAUUAUAAUUCAUUGACUUAAAUUUUUUUGAAAAUGUGGAUUCAAUUAUUGACGGACUCGAACUUGACCUCUCCUUUAGUGAUUUCUUUCGAUGAAGGUACCGAAAGCAAUGCUGUUAAAGCCAAUAAUUAAUUGGUCCAAGGAAGAAGAAAUAGAUCUAGACAUAGAAACAACUUUCGAAACAAAGCAAAAUAAAUAGGAACAGGAGUAAUCCAUCGAAAAAUAUCCUUCUCCUUCCCUCUUUUUCAAAGACAGGAGGAUUUGGACAAAAUCGAUGAAAGGUUUGAACUGCAAUUUGUUUUAUGUAUUGCCGUUGCGGUCCUCACAUGCAACAAAGUGGAAUUUUAAGUUGAGACAUUUUGAUGGAGAAUAUAUCUGAAUUGAGGGGGGAGCAAACAAACAUUGAUGUCACACGUAAGGGAAAUAUUAUUGAGAUGCGCCUGUAAGUUGUGUAAGACAAGUCCCACAUUAGAGAACUUUUGUGUGGUAAAAUAGUUGAUAAUCACACUCAGCCCACAACUUAUUCAUUUAGUAAUUUAAGUGAAGGUAAAUUCAAUUGGAUAAGUUGAUAAACUUGGACAUUUCUUCUCAAUUUAAUGAAGAAUGCCAGGUUUGAUGGGAACCUAUCAUUCAAAAACGACACAAAUAGUUCCUUUACUCUAAUAAAAUGUGUAAUUCAUCUUUAGAUUUUUAAUUCAUUCAAUGUAGCCAUUAAACUAUUUUUUUAGUACUAUCAUAAGUUUUCAUAAUUACACUACUACUUAGAUUUUAGGAUGUCUUUUUCAUUUCAAUCCACUUCCUAAAUUUAAAAAAAAAAAUUCAAUAUUUUCAUCGCCUUUUUACUUUUUAUGUCUUUAUAAAUAUUACUAUAAUUUGAUUUAAGUAUAUUUUAACUUCAGGUCUCUAUAAUAGUAAAAAUAUACCCCCAUUUAUAGUUAUAUUGGUUCCAUAUUCCUUUUGUUUCAAAAUAAGUGUUUCAUAAGAAUAUUUAACAACAACAACAACAACAACAACAACAACAACAACAACAACAACAACAACAACAACAACAAAAACUAUAAUUUAUGUAUACAUUUCUUGUACUUAUAUUAAUCUAAAUUGUGUUAUUAAUUUUUCAUAUAAAUACAAUUUUCAAGUUUUGGGGUUUUGUGUUUCCUUAAUUAAAUUUAGCUUUAUGUAAAUUAGGAAAUUAAAACAACAUGAAUAUCAACCCAAUACAACUCUAAAUGAGGUUCUACUUUCAUUAUUAAAUAUAUUAUAAGCUAAAAUAUACUAAAAUGGAACUAUCGUAAUAUUUAUAAAGACAAAAAAUGUGAAAAAGUAACAAAAAUAUAGCCAUAUAUUGUGUUAAUUUAAGAAAUGGAUCAGAAAUGAAAAGUUAUUUUAAAAUGAGGGCAAUAGUAUAAUAAUGAAAAAAAAUUGAAUUUUUUAAUGUAAAGUUGAAAUAUUAUAUUGAACAAAUUAAAAGUUUAUGAACUAAUCAAAGUCCAUAUAAGAGGUAUUCGUUUAUCAUCUACUUCUCCUAUCUUUGGAACUCCCACUCACUGCAAGGAUUCUUCUUCAGACUUCUUAAGGGUGGGCUUUGCCCGGAGCUUGGGAGCCUUGAGUCAACGUGCUAAUUCUUAGCCAUAGCAGAUCGAGAGCUCAUUCGGGAACUUAAAGUGAUAUGUACAGAGAAUACUUUUAUUGAUUGGCCCCCGUCAAACGUCUGUUUCUGGUCUUCUUGUUCACGCACUCGCAUGUAUCAACCCUUCAUCGACAAUGGACAUGCUUGAUUUCUGCCUUCUCGUGGGUCCCGUCCUCAAUUCCAGUCACAGAUAAUCAGGCCUAGUCUAGCCUUCCAAUCUACAGUGCGUAGCUGGAAUCUGGAGUUUCACUGCAUGCCUUAAGGAUCGAAAUAUUUCUUUUUUAUGAAUGGAUGAUCAAGACACUAGUAUAAUUUACAUUAACUAGCUGUGUAAGUUUGCUCUAGGCCUAUCAGAAUGGGUCAUAACCCCAUGAUGUAACUCAAUUUUACUUGAGUGGAUCAUAGAUGUGUCAACUGAAAUGUGAAAUAUAGAUUUAAAUGGGUUUUAAAAUGAAAAAAGGGGGGGGGGGGGGGGGUUUAAUGUUCGGAUAGAAACCUACCUCCAACCAUAGCAAACUAACUUUGCUCCCUCUUGAGUCUUGAAGAGUUCUUGUUGAGUCGCUCCCACUUCGCUCCUCUCUUCUUGCCCUCUCUCCAUGUUCGAUUCCAGUGAUCGCCAGACAUCAUUCUCCAUCUUUGGUGAGCUCUCUUUAUCCUCUUUGAUCCCAACUGAUCGGCGUCACCACUGGCCCCCGCUGCCUAUUUCUGGCGUCUUCUCCGAAGAUUUCUGAUCAUUGAAGUUAAUUACUUAUAAAAUUUCGGAUGGUUGUUUUGGCUUGGUCAAAUUUGAGGAGGUUGCUCUUUCAUUUCCAGAGCCUUUUCAAUUUUACGUUGGUCUUUUGUUGAAGUUGACACAAGGAAGGAGGUCAAGGGACUAGACAGAGCGAGGUAAGAGAGGAAAGUCUUCCCUAUACAAGUUUAUUAUUAUAAUCACGGAGAGUUGAAACCACGCCUCGUCCCAACCUCUUGAAAAAAUAAUGAUUCGAACCCCCAACCGUGGUCAUUGGGCAAGCCCCAAUUCAGCGCUGCUGCUUAGGGCGACUUAAUCGUGAGCUUUUACUCACAAUUCAGCGCUGCUGCUUAGGGUGACUUGCUCUUUAUGGUACGCCUAACUCAAGCCGAACCAACAUAUCCAUGAUCUUAAUUUCUUGAGAUUGAGGAAUGAUCAUAAUGCUCUAACUUGUGAUCAAUGAAGAUUGAUCAUCCUUUGCCUCACCUAUGCCCUUAUCCAUAACUCGACCCCCAAGCUCCCUCAAAUCAUGGGGUUGACCAUUCAAUUGAAGAACUUAAAGUGAGUUAAAAGAGUGAGUACGUGCUCUUUCUAUGUUAAAUUAAAUAUGGAUGUGUACUAGUAAUAUGAGUCAAGUCGGGUUUGAGUUAGAUUUGGAUUAGGUUAAGUAUGGGCUACUAAAAUUGCAUUAUACAUAAAUGGGUUGAUAUGAGUUAAAUGGGUCAAUUUAGAUCUCAACCAAAACCUAACCUAACUUGCCAAUUUGACGGCUCUACUUUGCCCACAUCUUUUUGCACAAGACCAAUUUUCAGCAAUAUAUUUCUCCAGCGAGCGUAUUUCUUAAAUGGAAAUACUUCAAGUUUCCAUGUAAAAGGUCAACGACUCACGUUUUCCUGCAGAAUACUCACUAAGCAAACUGUGAGUUCUGUUUAGAGGUCUCGGUCAACUCUAGUAGUAGAUUUAACGUUUGAUCCAGUAAAGCAACGCCGAAUAGAAUCAAUGUCAAGGUCCGUGAUGGUAGCUUACUUCUAGGUCCACAUUUUGGUAUUAUCCAUCUUUUGAUAAGUUUGAAUUUAGGUGAUUUCGAAUUGAUCACUCAUUUUGCAGAACCUAAGGCUUAAUUCUUUUAUUUUUAUGUAAUGAGAUUAGUUAAGGGAGAGAUAUGAUUUAAAUUUGCUUAUCCAGAUAAUCACGGUAUGUUCUUAAACUCAUUCCGCGAAGAUACUAAAGACAUUAUGACGAUAUGAGGGUAGAGAGACUCGUGAUGACGUGCAAGGAUAAGCCAAUGAGGGAGGUCUACACCCUGGGAACAAGUUUAUUUGGGCUUUGGCUGAAGGAGGUCAUGACAUGUGUUUUGGGUUUUAAUUCUUUUCUCAGCUCAGUUUAGCUUGUUUUACAGAAAAACGAGUUGUCCACACCGAAUUGGACCCAUUAAAUUCGAGUGACAAAAGAUCCAUUUUUUUGGUUUUAUUCCAAACGGGCGAAAAUUCAUUUCAUGAGCUUAACCGAACACUAGAAAAUACUAUCAUUUUUCUCUUUGAAGAAUAUUUUUCCAAAAGCAUCAUAUUUUUGCAAAGCAAAUGGAUCCUAAGUGCAAGACCAAGAUACCCAAUACAAUACAGUUUUGUUGAACCACAUCCUAGCAACUUAUGAACAGGAAGAUCUAUAUUUUAUCCAGAACAGAGUAAAGCAAUGAAGAGCCUCAUAUAUAUGGGACUACGGCUAUGUGCAAAGUCCAGUGCAACUUUGCUACAUGAUGCAUGCCAGAGAAGGCAAUUGUUCGAAGAAUAAGAAAACAAGAAAAAAAAAAACUGACAAAAAGAAAGAGAAUAACGAUUAAUUACACUAAUCAUACAGUUUCCUCAAUUCGUGUCUGGGAAAGCGAUUUGAAGAAAACUUUUUUCAGGUGCUGAUUGAAGUCAGUAGAGCCCAAAUUCCCGAGUCUCUAUCUGUAGAAGUUCCAUGGCUAGGAGUGAAGAAGUUCCUUGAAAAGCUCGGUUUUUGUUAACCAACUGCACAAGAACGCUAAGAAGCAAAAUUUUCGAAGGAGUUCUUACAAAUGCUUCCCAGAGAGUACAAAAUUUUCGAAGGAGUUCUUACAAAUUUUCGAAGGAGUUCUCCAGGGUGUACUUCUGCAGGAAUUUUGACAGCAUAUGAAUCAGAUCGUUGAAGGAUUUACUUUAACUUCUCAUUUCUGCUUGCAUCUUUUACAAAUAACAGCUCCUCUUUUGUUUGCCUGGGAAGUGACGCCAUCACUUUUGUCCCCUCUUAAGUUCAGAAAUGCAUCACCUUCAGUCUCUUAAUAAGUGAUCAGUGAGUGCAACGCAAAUAUUUGGUAUGAGGUCACCUUUACUUGAGUGUGUUGUUGCUCCUGAACUCUGCAUUUGCCUGCAACUAUGAUGCACAAAUGCAUCUGGAAUCUGUUGAGAAUAUUGGAUUCCUAUACCCUGAUGUUCACAGUUAUACUACUUCGUUUUUCCGUGUACUAGUAUGCCAUUGCUAAUAUCAAGUUAAGUAUUUGCUGAUGAAGAGCUUAAUAACCAAUGGACUUCUCGACUGUUGAAGCUUUCCACAAAUCCAAACAAUUACCAUGGGAUGGAGAAAAGUUCAGUGUCAUGGAUCAUAAACGGAAAGGAGUGUUGAAAAUUCUGUAAUCACCUCAAGGCGGUCUUCCUGUUCAUUGAGUUUUAGACCCUAUGAAGUUUUGUGUGGUUAUAAUUAUGUUUCAUGAGAUGCACGGUAUGCAUUGUCAUUGGACCAAAAUCUAAUUUUAAUCAAAUUAAAAAAAAAAAAAAAACACAUUUAGGGAAAACCAACACAAUAGAUAACAUGCUCAAGCUUCUUGUGGACGACAGACUCUGGCUUCACGAGUCUCUGGUACAGGGGACUGGUGAAGCCCUUCCAUGAAUUUGGACCUCUGAAGCUCAAGAAAAUAUUGUAAUUGCAUCAAGCAGGAUCAUUUGAUGAAGUGGUUAUUAAUUCCUCAGCGAAACUGCUUGGCUUUGGUCUUCUUUUCUUACACACGAACACAAAAGGCAAGACUAAUGCAAAAGGCACCACGAUAGGAAGAAGCCACAUUGUCUAUUCCUCAAUAUUCUCUAACCUACUCACCUCCUCCAGAUGAUCAAGAAAAGAUUCGAUGCCAAAAAUUGCUAACUCUUUCCUCUCUAUUCUAAAUCUUCAGUCCCCUGCUUCGGAUUUAAAACAGGAAUCCUCCAUUUCGUCUGUUGAUUGGGCAGAAAAGAGUCAAAGUCGGGGCAGAGGUACUAAUAUUUCAUCGGUUGCUUCUCUCUUUCCAGCUCAAGACAAUCUUUUUCAGAGUCUUCGAGUUCACAUGCUCACUGGUCAGUUAACUAAUGAAGCAUUAAGUAUCCACAAUUUUGUUGGAUGUCUUUCCUGUUAAUCUCGUCCUUAAAACAAGGAAUUAUCAGGGUAAGUAAAGCCAAACAUCUAGAGUUGCAACAGCGCGAGGAAUUGUCCAAGUAAACACUAUAAAAUUGGUGCUGCUAUAUCUUUAGAUCUCAUUAGUGAUGAUCAUAGAUUUCUUUUUUCUUUUUUGUAAUUUGGGGGGGGGGGGGGGAUGGGGAAGGGGGGUGGGGGCGGGGGAGGGGAGUUGAAUAUUUUGGCUCGAGUAAUCCAUGUAUGUACGUGAACCUCUCAGUCAUGCAUCGAUUAAGGAUCUGCCUCAUCCAAAAUGCUUGACCACAGAACCAGCCCCCCACGGUUAGAUUCAGAGAUAUUCACUUUCACAUAAUACGAAGGAUAAUUCAAUCCCACGUAUCCCAGAAAGAGGAACUCCUGUCUAUUCCUAAUUUGACGAAUGAUUGAUGAGGGGAUUUUUCCGAAGUGCACUGAUGGUUAUCUAGAAGAUCUAUAGUCGACUAAUCGAGUCACACCGUCAUUCCUAGAUGAAUGUACUCCAUGAUAAUGCAUAAAUUGGCAAUAUGCAAGUUGUUGCUGGCAACGGAAAAAAACACUUUGAUGUAGGGCCAGUUUAGAAUACAAAAGCAACCCAAGAGACAAGUGCAGACAAACAAAAUUUAAUGCAAUAGUUGCUAAUGCAUGGGUUACUGAUCAAUGAAGCAGACUUGGGAGUUGGUCUUUGGAACUGAUUGUUGCAAGCCACACAGACAUAAUAGAAAACAAGUAAACUGCAGCUGGUCACUAUACCCGGCCAAAAGGAAACAAAAAACUACAGCUAGUCAAAUCACAUGGCAAAGAAGAUAGAACAUCACCAUGUCUGUGAUGGGAAAAGACAUAGGAAUUUAUUGGGGUGGCCAAGAACAAAUCGACGGUGAAUGGUAACUCAAAACAGAAUUCAGUUCUUAAUGUUGAACGGGGGAAAAAGGUCAGGUAAUGGUUCAGAGGCAAAAAGACAGUUGCAACUUCCAAAUCACCUCAAAACGAUCUGGCCUGGAUCCUCGUAGUCAGAUGAUGAACAUACUUGGCGUGUUCUGUUAGGUAAUUCUGGGGGUUUCAGGAAGUUGCAUCCAGAGAAAUCCACAAUGCUUAAGCAUCUCAACCCUCCAAGCCCCUGGAGCUCUGUUAGUUUCCCACAAUGUCGUACUUUUAGAUCUUCCAAAAGUUGUAAACCUGACAAAUCUGGUAAGUUCUCAAGCAUCUCGCACCAUGAAAUGUUAAUAAAUUUUAAUGAUCUUGCUCGAUUAAGCCCUGGAACAUCCACAAGCUGUGGACAUUUAUUCAGGGUCAAGUAUUCUAAAUCUUCAAAUUCCGAAAGAUCUGGAAUGUUUACAAUUGACUUGCAUUUUUCAAUACAUAGUCUUUUGCAUGAAGAGAAUGCCUCAAGCGUUUGGAUAUCAUGGAUCUUCUCACAGCCACUGAUGUUCAGAUAUUGCAAGGCUCCAGGGCACGGUAGUUCUGGUAAACUUUCCAAAGAGCUACAGUCAGAGAGGUCCAACAUUUCCAAGCGUUCAGCUUUAUAAAGGUCCGUUAUUUCAACUAACUUCUUGCAACCCCCAGCUUCUAUUCUCUUCAGACCAUUUAAGUUAGAAAAGUCCGGUAACCUCUCAAUGGAAUAACACUCGGAGAUAUCCAGUUCUUCCAAGUAUUCCCAUCUAUCAAGGCCUUGAAUUCCAACCAGAUUCUCACAAGCCGCAGCAUCAAAUUUCUUCAGAAAUUUCAAAUCCGAAAGAUCCGGUAAUGUUUCUAAUGCUUUACAACCCCGUAUGAUGAUCGAUCUUAAUGAGACUAAACGUUCAAGGCCCUCCAGCUUAUAUAGCUUUUCACAAAAUGAUGCUGUCAAAGCAGUUAGGCAAACAAGUUCUUCAAGCCCUUUGAUUUCAGUUAACUCAGAGCAACUGUGGAGAUGCAAUUCUGAUAAGCGUUUAAAAUUUGACAAAUCUGGAAAUCUCUCCAAAUCUGGACCUUGGCUGACUUCAAGCUUCAACAGACUUGAGGGAAGAUCUGGGAGCCAUUUUAUGUCAUCAUGAAGUUCAAUGUGGAGAUCAACAAGUUGAGAGAGGGUCUUCAUCGUAGUUAAGGCACUCAAAUCCUUGACUUUCAUUGAUAAUUGUGUUAGAUUGAUUAGGUUGGCAAUAUCUGAGAUUAUCUGACAAGCGAAAUGUAGACUUGUUAAGCUUGAGGGAAGCUCUGGCAGAUAUUGUAGCUCUUCGCAUUUCCAUAAAUCAAGCUCUUGGAGACAUGAUAACUUGUGAAUGCUUUUUGGCAAACUGGAAAUGCGGGUCUUUUUUAACCGAAGGACUCGCAGUGAAGAUAAAUCCCCUAUCUCACUAGGGAUUUCUCCUUGCAGAUAUUUACACCCUGAGGCAUCUAACUCUUCAAGCUUCUUCAACCUUCCCAUGGUUCUUGGUAAACUUUCUAAGAAUAUAUUAGUCAUGAGCAGAACUUUCAAAUUGUGCAGAUUCCCAAUGGAGUAGGGCAGCUCCUUAAUAGCCGAAUGUGAUAAAUGCAGUUGGGUUAAUGAUGUCAAUUGUCCAAUGGAGUCGGGCAGUGUUUCCAAUGAGUUGCAUUCCUGUAGCAGCAAGCUAUACAAGUUCCAGAGGGAUUUUAUGGAGCUGUCAAUUCGAACCAAUGAUCUACAAUUACGAGCAGAAACAAUCUCAAGCUUCCUCAUGCGACCUAUGGACAUGGGAAUCUCUUUUAUGGAACUGUCAUCAAUAAGAAGCUCCGUCAAGUUUGUUAGUCUCCCCAUUUCUUCAGGUAGCUCCUUGAGUUUGUCACAUCCCUUCAGACUCAAGGAUACGAGUUUCGUGAUACUCCUGAUAGAAGGAUGAACUUUGACUAGAUUAACACAAUAUUCAAGAUUCAAGAUCUCAAGAUUCCGGAGAGCUGAGAAGUCAGGAGUUUCAGUCAAAUUCUCGCAGUGCAGAAGCCUCAGAACUUUGAGCUGGUUCGCAAUCCACCACAAACAAAAUAUAGCAACGUUAGCUCUUGGAUUUAUCAUAUACCUCGCAAAAUUCAAAAGAAGAUGGAGAUUUACCUUCGGUAAUCCAUUCACAUGGUGCCAUGCGUCCCAGUGCUCUGUGAGACUACUGGCUCUUACGUUGAGAAUAACCAAGUUCUCCGGAUGAAAGUCUGGUGGAAAAAAAGACGUUGGGCAGGCAAUCCAAUCAAGCCAUCUUAAAUUAGGAAGAAGGCCCUUGAAAUGGCCCGUGACUUCCGCCUGCUUGAUACGAAGGUACCUUAAGUUCGGCAGUUUUCUAAACUGCUCAUUUGUUAAGCAGUAUAGUUUAGAAAGGGAAGGGGAAUACUCAAGACGGAGGGCCUCGAUCUGACUCGUUCCCUGCAAGUGCCCAGAAACUGAGGAAUAAGUGCGCCGCGCAAGACCGAAUGGAGGCUAAUUAAAAGCGUGAAAAAUUGUUCCGUUUGUUCCAUACGUAAUAUUUGGUAUAACUGUACAUCCAUCCAAUUUAUAACAGAACUCUAAGGAUCAUACAUCCAUCCAAUUUAUAACAGAACUCUAAGGAUCGUAAAAGCAUUGACUCCAGGCAUGCUCCAUUACCAUAUAUGGGAACUCUUUGAAUUAUUUCAGUUCGACUGCUUUCUAGAUUGACUGGCUUUUCUGGUUUUGAUCGAUUUUCUUGCAGGGGUCAAACAGGAUAGAGAACAUAACCGGUACCCGGUUGAACCGAUUGUGUGUGAUUGUGCCAUGUAGCAACCUAAGAUAUUAUCCCGCUGAAUCAGACAAUGUCUGACAAUGUCUAAACAUGAAUAUACAAGUUAGGUUGGAUGUCUACGUUUUCAUUUUGGGGUCUAUUAUGAGAGAGACACGAUUUGACAUGAAUAGCUUGACCUCACAUCAGCGGUAUUGUGCCUAAGCUGAUGUUGUCACAAAUUUGCUGAUUCUACCCACAACCUUCGUUUUUUUAAAACUAGACUCCACACUUUUAGGCCACUUUUAUAGCCUAAAAGAGGCAGGUAAAAAGUAGAGAGUUGAAAACAUUGUACCUCAUUUCUCUCGAGCACUUUCAAAGCUUCCUCGUGAAUCCAUAAUCUACUGCGUUCACUUGGCUUGACAGAGUUUCCCUUAGAAACAAUACUUCUACCAAGAUCUCUUAACUGAUCAUGCAUCCAUAGCCGAUUUCCCCCAUUGCCAGGGACAAUUUUGACUAGGGACAUGAGACUCAGCACUUCUAGUCCCAAGUUCGGAGAGAAGCCACAGUCAUCCCACAUGUAAGUUGGAAGUCUUGGAUCUGUUCCAUUGAAAAAACAUGCAACGUCAAGGAAUAUCUGCUUCACAUCAUCAGUUAGGGUAUCAUAACUUAUCUUCAGCUUCUCUUCAACCUUCUCAUGCGGCACUUUUCUCAACUUCUCUAAUGUGUCUCUCCACGCUGCCCCGCUUUUGUCGCACAAGAGUGACCCAAUAACCUCAAGAGCCAACGGGAGCUGCCCAGUAGUUGAGACAAUAUCAUGACAAAGGUCGUUGAAGGCAGGAGGAGGGAAGUCACGUUGAAACGCAUGUCUACAAAAUAGAACCAUAGAAUUUUCUUUGUCCAAUCCCAUAAGUUCAUAUUCCCAGUCUGACGUCCCAAACUGAUUAAGAAUAUGCUUAUCUCUAGUUGUAAUAAUGAUCCUACUUCCAGAGCCAAACAACCCAUGCCCUCCUACAAGUGCAUCUAACUGAUCUUUGUGACUCACAUCAUCAAGAAAAAUGAGAACUCUCUUGCCUUCAAAUCUAGAACUGAUGAUAUUGAUUCCGUCGUCUCUGUUAGAAACUUCGUGGGGGCUUCCUUUAAGAACUUCAGAGAUCAAUUCCUUCUGCAAGUGCACAAUUCCCUCAUGCGAUUCCGUUUCUCGGAUAUCAGCUAAGAAGCCACGGCGCUCAAAUUGGCUUGACAGUUUAUUGUAGAUGACUUUGGCAAGAGUUGUUUUACCGGCACCACCCAUUCCAUGAAUUCCAAGUAUCCGUGUAUCUCCAAAUUUAGUAUCUACCAUCGUCAUAAUUUCUUUUACAUGAAUGUCCACUCCCACCAAGUGUUUAGGGGUCACUAACUUAAAAGCAUUCUUUAACUCGCUCAAAACCUUUAUAACAACCGCUUUUAUGAGCUCUGCCUCAUUCCUGUCAAAAUCGUGCUAUGAUCGAGAUCAUGAACAAAUAUCAAGAGUAAUACUUACUAGAACAAACUCAGAUAAUAAGCAACGAGAUGAAUUGGCAAAUUAAUAAUGGUCAAUAGUCUAAAAAAGUAAUGUACUUUGCCAUAUAUUAAUCAGCUUAUAUGAAUAAGGGAUUUGGAAGUACCCAUUAGCAAUAUUUUCGGAUACCAGUCCUUUCAAGGAUCCAACUUCUUUGAGUGCUUGUCUCCAUUCCUGAACGACGCUAUCCUCAAAACGCUGCUUGUAUGAAUUGAAGACAUCUCCAAAGGUUCCCUUGAGCCACUUCACAUCUGCGGGCUCUACUUUAUAGAAUAUGGGCAAGAUCACUUGUUUCAUCUCUUUCUUGCACUUGAGCAUCCGAACGAGCUCAAAAAGGCACCAUUUGCUGGAAGCAUAGCAUUCUGAGAGAACUGGGAUUGAGAUCUUGCUGUUGUCAAUGGCCCGGAAAAGCUGUGGGCCAAUCUCCUCUCCUAGAGGGAGCUCGUCGUCAUCUCUGAACACGCGAACUCUCAGUUCUCGGAGUCGCUCGUAGAGGUGGCUGGUAAAGCCCUUGCGAGAGUCUGGACCUCUGAAGCUUAAGAACACAUCAUAAUCACAUCCUGGCGAAGCAUCCGAUGAAACUGGGGACACGGAAACCGGCUUCUCCACGAAGGUAAUUGCUGUUCUCUUCACCUUUAGAAAUUCUGAGGGAAUGAAAACUGAAAGCAAGAUUAAUCGGAUGCUAAACCACUGCAAAAGAAUGAAAGAUCUGAGGAUACAGAUUUCCUCUCUUUCUAUAAUGUACUCGCGUAUUAAAUUUAAUGAAGGGAAACAAGUCAAGGUCCAUCCUGGAGGUGUCUUACCAGACAUAGUAAAUAAUAGGGGUGCGCAGCAGUCUAGGGUCGACCAUGGACCGACCCUCGACCGGCCCAACCCUGCCGGUCUUUCCAAGGGGAUUGGGUCGGUCCUUGGUCCUGAAAUUCCAGGACCGACACUAUGCCGAUUGGUCAUCGGUUCUGAGAGUUUUGAGUCGGUCAAAUCCUAGAUUAACCCUGUAUAUUAUAUUAUAUUAUUUAUAAUUCUUUUAUAUAUUCAAAUCUAAGUAAAAUUUCUAUUAUAUUAUAUUAUAUUAUUUAUAAUUCUUCUAUAUAUUCAAACCUAAGUAAAAUGAUGUUAAAGCUAUUGACUCCUCAGACUUACAGUCACAGACAGACAGCAUCCAAUUUCAAAAGGCGUGAAGUUUAUGCCGUAAAGGUCUUCACGGCCUCCUCCUCCACAGUCCAGAGUACGUUGACCAAGGACUCCUCACAAUCACGGACUCGUGACGUCCAAAAUGGCGUGAAGUUUACGUCGUAAAUCUCCUCACGGCUUCCUUCCCCAAAGUUCGUUCUCUUCCAUUCUGUGUUCUUUGUUCUUCAAUUUACCAAAAUCAAAAGUAGCAACAUUCCGCUAGCCACAUUGUGGACCCUAUCUUGUCCCAUAUCUUGAUGAGCAGUUAGUAGAUACGAAAUUUCUAUUAUUGUGUCAUCUUAAAUUUGCUGAAUAUGUAUUGAUAUUUAUAGUUUAGUUACACAAUGCCGCAUUGUGGAUGGAUGUAUAAUUUGAAUUUGUAGGUUUACUUUUUUAGGGAGUAUAAAAAACAAGACGAAAAAAAUUAUCGAUCGGUCUCGGGUCCCUGGAACUGGACCGAACCCAUUGGGUCAGUCCGGUCCUUGGUCCCAGGCUCAAUAGGGUCGGUCCUCGAUCCUAAAAAUUGAGGACCGACACUGUACGGGUUGGUCCUAGAGUUAGGGGGUGGCCCGGACCAACCCAGCCCAUGCUCACCCCUAGUAAAUAAAUCUCUUCCAGUCAAGAGUAGGUGGUUUAACGUGGACCAGUCAUUUAUUGAGAUGCACGUGAAAAACACAUUGAGUCCAUCACCUCCGCAUAUAUCAACGAAUUUAUCAAGGUACUAAUGUAAAUUAAUUUUAAAAAAUAUCAUAUUUGGAAGUUGAUGUAGUAUAUAAUAAUUAAUAAUUAUAUUUGUAUCAUAAUUCAUUGGCUUUCGUGUCCAACUGUUGACGGGCUAAGACUUAACCUUUCUCUUGGCGAUUUUCUUAUUGGAAGGUAUUAAAAGUAAACAAUAUCAGAGUAAAAAAUUAAUUGGUGCGAGAAGGAAGAAACAGAUGUAGAGAUAUAAACGACUUUGGAAAUGAAAUGGACUAAACAAGAACAAAAAGGAACCACCAAAGAAAAUCCUUCUCCUUCCCUUUUUCUGGAAGAAUGGAGGUUCUAGACAAAAUUGCUGAAAAGUUUGGCCCCUAUUUGUUUCAAUUGUUGUUGUAGUGCACAGACACAACAAAGUGGAGAUUUAAGUUGGGACAUUUUGAUAUAGAAUAUAUCUAAAUUGACGGGGAGCAAACUAACACUAAGGUCACUUGUAGGGCAAAAAUUAUUAAGAUGUACGUGUGAAUUAUGCUAGGAAAAUCCAACAUUAGAGAAUUUGUAUGUUGUAAAACAACUAUAAUCACAAUCAGUCCACAAUUUAUUUACAUAAUCUUUUAAGGGAAAGUGUAUCUAAUUGGAUAUAUUGAUACAUUUAAACAUUUCUUCUCAGUUUAACAAAAAAUACUAAUGUUGGAUUAAGUGGGGAAAUUCAACUUAAGAAUGGACAGCUGCAACAACAGCUAGCAUUUGAAAUAGUGAAUCUUUUUGGAAGAGUCAAGAGAAUAAGAUUUUGGACCCAAUUUAGGGUGCGUUUGGGAGAAGCUUUCGAAGGGGCUUUGGGCAUCAAAAGCCCCUUGGGCCAAAAUAAGAGUGUUUGGGAGAAACUUUGGAAGUCUCUUAAUGGCAAAGCUGGUAUUUGUAAGGCUGAUCAGCUUUCUUGGCAUGUCCAUGCGGUACUGUUCAUUUUUUUUUUUUUUUCAGAAAUUGUCCUCAUAAAUUUUUUAUUUUUCCAUUUUUUCCCCUCCGUCGUGAUCCCGACAACCUAGGCAAUCGUCGUCAGAGAGUCGGGCAACCUCCGCGAGUUGCGGCAUUGUGUGACCCUUCGUGAGUUGCGGCAACUCAACGACCAUGGUGAGGGGCCACCUGGCGAGUCGCGACUCAAAUUUGGGUUGCCCCGACCCAGAUCCUCGCAGAUCUGAGUCGCCCAACCCCAGCGAGCCGCAGUGGCCCAAAUUUGGGUCGCGGCAACUCAGAUUUGAGUCACCACGACCCAAAUCCUUACCGAUCUGGGUCGCGCGACCCUCAACGAGCCAUCUAGUCGCAAAUCUGGUUGCGACCAGAUGCAGUCGCCAACAACCGUCACGUGCCGCAUUGCGACCUCUGCACAAAGGUCGCCGAGGCCCCUCAACCCAUCUAGUCGCAGGUCUAGUCAUGACCAGAUCUGGUGUCGGAGACUCGAGCGGCGACCAGAUCUACAACUAGAUGGGUUGCGACCUUAGAUCCGAUCGCCUGUGACCCUCUAGCAAGCGUCACGCAAUCCUCGCAGGAUUGCCUAUCUCUGCCGGACGGCUUGCAUCGGACUAUUCGCCCUUCACUAGACCGUCUGCUCCUUGCUGGCGACUACUUAUUCUUGGCCGGCCAAUUCUCAUUUUCAUUUUUCUGUUUUUUAAUAACAAAAGUCUUUUGCAAACAUAAUUUUUCUAAACCCCAUUUUACUCAAAGGCGACUUUCAAAGUAUAAUUUACCAAAUACAGUUUGCAUUUUGAAAAAUUCAUUUAAUUUAAAGGCCUUUGCAUUUUCCCAAAGUUUUCCCUAAAGCCUUUUCAAACGCACCCAUGAUGAAGAAUAGCUCGAUGGAAAGGGUGCCGAACGGGAGAGUGCCAACACCAAGGACUAACAACCGAGAUGGGUAUUUCUGAGGUGGGAUUUCCCUAGGAAUUUGGUUAGUCCUCACAGGUAUUCGAUCUGGGGAGCUUUCGCUCCGAGAUAUCCACCAAAAAGAGUAAGCGGAACUGAUAUGCAGAACCAGAGCAACAGCAGGAUAACGAAAGAGAAAACGGGAUAGCUCCAGUGCUGUGACUACCCCACAAGCGAAAAUUCAGAACAGUCAGGAUCAAAAACGCUAUACCGGGGAAGAAGCACGACACCCAUCCCUUGUGAUCACCAGAGCUGAUGGUCCUCCAAAGUCGUACAGCAACAUAACCAGCAACAACACCAAGAAUCAUGUAGAAGAACAGCAUAUCUCUCGAUCCGCGUCAAAUCUGGACGAACCCAGUUGCGAAAGCAAGAUAAUCAGGCAAUGCAAAGAGCAAACCCCCAUCUGGGUUCGACGAUAUCACUCAUGAACGGCAUCAACACGCACAAAAAACGACUAAAAACACACAGCAAAAGAUCCCGACUCGCACUAGCAGCUGCUCGAACACCUAGAAAGAUCAAGAAACGACAACAGAACAAGCGCGCACGAAUGUCGCGAAGGGCACUGCAGAUCUGACUGACCUUCUAUAAAGGAACGCGCAUAGAGAGGGAGGGAGAGAGCAGGGGAGACUCGGGGGCAACCACAACGCCAGAAAGGUUAAAUCUUUGGCCUUUAUUUAUUGCUGGGGAUGGAGGAAGUCGAGAAGAUGCGAGACGCGAUGAUAUUUCUAGGAUCCGUCCGAUGGCGGUUUGACGCCUUUGCGUGAGCACGCUGAAAUGGGGAAUAACGUACCGCGGGGGGCACACUCCUACUGCCGAUUCUUUCCCCCUUCCCCUCUCUCUCUCUCUCUCUCUCUCUCUCUUUCUUUUCUCCCCUUUUUCCUCCUCACGUCACUUCCAAAUCCCCCCUCCCGCCCCCCAACCCAAAUCUAGAACCGAUGUUAUUGAUUCCAUCGUCUCUGUUAGAGACUUCAUGGGGGCUUCCUUUAAGAACUUCAGAGAUCAAUUCCUUCUGCAAGUGCACAAUGCCCUCAUGCGAUUCAAUUUCUCGGAUAUCAGCUAAGAAACCAUGGCGCUCAAAUUGGCUUGACAGUUUAUUGUAGAUGACUUUGGUAAGAGUAUCUCCGAGUAUCUCUGAAUUUAGUAUCUACCAUAGUCAUAAUUUUUUUCACAUGAAUGCCCACUCCCACCAAGUGUUUAGGGGUCACUAACUUAAAAGCUUUCUUUAACUCGCUCAAAACCUUCACAACAACCGCUUUUAUGAGCUCUGCCUCAUUCCUGUCAAAAUGGUGUUAUGAUUGAGAUCAUGAACAAAUAUAAUGAGUACAACUUACUAGAACAAACUCAGACAAUAAGCAACAAGAUGAAUUGGCAAAUUCAUAAUGGUCGAUAGUCUAAACAACUAUUGUACUUUGCCAUAUAUUAAUCAGCUUAUAUGAAAAAGGGAUUUGGAAGUACCCAUUAGCAAUAUUUUCGGAUACCAGUCCUUUCAAGGAUCCAACUUCUAUGAGUGCUUGUCUCCAUUCCUGAACAACGCUAUCCUCAAAACGCUGCUUGUAUGAAUUGAAGACAUCUCCAAAGGUUCCUUUGAGCCACUUCACAUCUGCGGGCUCUACUUUAUAGUAUAUGGGCAAGAUCACUUGUUUCAUCUCUUUCUUGCACUUGAGUAUCCGAACGAGCUCAAUAAUGCACCAUUUGCUGGAAGCAUAGCAUUCCGAAAGAACUGGGGUCGAGAUCUUGCUGUUGUCAAUGGCCCAGAAAAGCCGUGGGCCAAUUUCCUCUCCUAGAGGGAGCUCGUCAUUGUCUCUGAACACGCGAACUCUCGCUUCUUGGAGUCGCUCGUAGAGGUGGCUCGUAAAGCCCUUGCGAGAGUCUGGACCUCUGAAGCUUAAGAACACAUCGGGUGCGCAUGGAUUUAUUUCUGUGCUUUUUUUGUUCUUGGGAACAAAAACAAAAAAAAGUGUUUCUGUUCCGGGGAACAAUUUUUGAACAAAAGAACGCGUUUGGUAACGUUUGGUCCGGGAAUAAAAAUUGAACAGAAACACGUUUGGUUAAAUUUUAUUAUUUUUUUGUUUCUUUUAAUUUUUUAAACAUUUUUUAUUAUUUUUUAUUUUUUCCUUUCUUUUUAUUUUUUCUUUUUUUCGGCCGGUCACCGGCCUCCGGCGACCGGCCGACGGGGCCGGCAGCCUCGCCCAGCCACGGCGAGGCCGAGCCUGGCCGUGGUUGGGCGAGGCUCGGCUCUCCCCUUUGGCUGGCUGAGCUCAGCCUCGCCGGAUCUGGGCGAGGCCGAGCCUCGACGGCCGGUCGCCGGCCAUGGCCGAGGCCGGCGACCGGCCAAAGAAAAAAUAAGAAAAAAAAGAAGAAAAGAAGAAGAGAAGAAGAAGAGAGAGAAGAGUCGUUUUUGUUCUUUUUUUUCUUCCGAGAAGUGUUUCUUUUCUGGAGAAACAACUUUUUUUUGUUUCUUUUUUCUGUUCCUAUUUCGUUCCAGAAACAAAAAAACAAAAAAGGAACAAAAACGCAACCAAACGCGUUUCUGUUCCUUUUUUGUUCCCGAGCACACUUUCCGUACAAAAGUGUGCCAGAAACGUUUCUUAGAAACGUUUCCAUGCACGCCCAUCAUAAUCACAUCCUGGUGAAGCAUCCGAUGAAACUGGGAACUCGGAAACCGGCUUCUCCCUGAAGGCUAUCGCCGUUCCGUUCAUAUUCAGAAAUUCUAAGAGGAUGAAAACCGAAAGCAAGACUACUCGGAUGUGAAACCACAGCAAAAGAAUGAAAGAUCUGAGGAUACAGAUUUCCUCUCUUUCUAUAAUGUACUCGCGUAUUAAAUUUAAUGGAGGGAAACAAGUCAAGGUCCAUCCUGGAGGUGUCCUACCAGACA